ACUGAACGGCGGACGGGUGAGUAACGCGUGGGUAACCUGCCUCAUACAGGGGGAUAACAGUUAGAAAUGACUGCUAAUACCGCAUAAGACCACGGUACCGCAUGGUACAGUGGUAAAAACUCCGGUGGUAUGAGAUGGACCCGCGUCUGAUUAGGUAGUUGGUGGGGUAACGGCCUACCAAGCCGACGAUCAGUAGCCGACCUGAGAGGGUGACCGGCCACAUUGGGACUGAGACACGGCCCAG
rnacentral:rRNA from 1 species